UAGAGAGUAGUGUAGUGACGCACGGGGGGUUUUGAGCUCUCAAGGGCAGGUUCAAGUCCUGUUUUUCUAA
rnacentral:tRNA from 1 species